UGCAAGUCGAACGGUAACAGGAUGUGCUUGCACAUCGCUGACGAGUGGCGGACGGGUGAGUAAUGCUUGGGAACUUGCCUUUGCGAGGGGGAUAACAGUUGGAAACGGCUGCUAAUACCGCAUAAUGUCUUCGGACCAAACGGGGCUUCUGCUCCGGCGCAAAGAGAGGCCCAAGUGAGAUUAGCUAGUUGGUAAGGUAACGGCUUACCAAGGCGACGAUCUCUAGCUGUUCUGAGGGGAAGAUCAGCCACACUGGGACUGAGACACGGCCCAGACUCCUACGGGAGGCAGCAGUGGGGAAUAUUGCACAAUGGGGGAAACCCUGAUGCAGCCAUGCCGCGUGUGUGAAGAAGGCCUUCGGGUUGUAAAGCACUUUCAGUUGUGAGGAAAAGUUAGUAGUUAAUACCUGCUAGCCGUGACGUUAACAACAGAAGAAGCACCGGCUAACUCCGUGCCAGCAGCCGCGGUAAUACGGAGGGUGCGAGCGUUAGUCGGAAUUACUGGGCGUAAAGCGCACGCAGGCGGUUUGUUAAGCUAAAUGUGAAAGCCCCGGGCUCAACCUGGGAUGGUCAUUUAGAACUGGCAGACU
rnacentral:rRNA from 1 species